GAAAUAAGCAGCACUCUCUUUAUUGUCACAUUGUUUCUUCAUGCUUUAGUUGAAUGAUGGGACUUAAAUUAUAAACGAUUCAGACACGAGCGCAGACUCCGCCCCCUGAAUGCAACUGCGGCGUUGCCUGAUGGCAGAAUGGGAUCCCCGCCACUCUGGAAACCCGCAGCAUGACUCCGGCAACCCCGCAGUCGACUGAGACCCCCAUGGCACGAUCACACUUCAAUGCACGCACACGCGCACCCACACCUCCUUCACAGAAUAUCCUGAAUUUCUCCACAGUUGAUGUAGGUCAUUGGCCUUCCAACAGGACAAUGAUCACAAACAUACCUCAAAUUCCACCAAGGCUUGCUUGCAGAAGAAGUCCUGGAACAUUCUACAGGUGUCACAUUUUCCCCUUCAGGCAGCGAGCUGGAGAGCACAAGGGCACGCGUGCACACAAGAAAGGCGCGUGAGCGCCCGCUCUUCGAAUGUUGACAAUCGUGACAUUGUUUACCAUGGACACGUGCAUUUGUUAUGUUUCUGUUCUGUCUCCUCCCUGUUCUGUGAUUGGCUUUUGUUCGAACGUGUGUGUAGAUUGGUGUCAGCCAUCAGCACUUAACGUUGAUUAUGUUUGCUUAUAUACUGCGUGCCUCACAGUACACGGUGCAGAGUAUUAGAUAUAGUAGAUAAAUUAGAUUAGUUAUGUUCCUUGAUAGAGAUAGUUAAAAUAGUUAGUUUCACGUUAGAUCACUUCAUUUAGUCCACGCUGGUUUUUCCACUCCCAGUUCUUAGUCAUAGCUCAUGUUUCUUGUUUUGUUUCUUUACCGUUUUCUGUGAAUGCUUUGCCUCGUUUAUGCCUGUUUGCCGAUCGCCCGACCCUUUGCCUGUUGUGACUACGUUUUGGAUUACGAUUUGGAUUUGUC
ensembl:lncRNA